rnacentral:lncRNA from 1 species
UAAGACUCUUAACUUCAUUAUGUGUCCAAAGGAUUUUUCUUGGCAAUGAGAGAGUUAACAAUCUAAAUGUACAAAGGAUUUUUCUUUGUGUUUUCAGACACUUUCUACAAUGACCUUGCAAAUUAAUAUGCACUCAAAGGUUUCUUUGUACAUUUAGAUUGUUUGAUAAAAAAAAAAAAGACUCUCUCAUUGCCAAGAGAUAAAUAAAUCUUGGACGAUUGUGUGAUGUUAAUGCACAAUUUGAAAUGUAAUUGGUUUGAUUGACCCAUUGAGCUCAAAGUCAAAGUUUUUUCUUUUCUUUUUUUUUUUUAACUUUCUCUGACAUGAACAAGACUACUCACUCA